UAGAUUUGGAGGAGUAGUGUCUGAGACUGAACCCUGAUUUUGCAACUUGCUGCACAUAUGACCAUGGAAUGCACUAAAUAUCAGCCUAAGGUAUUCCAGAUGCUCAUCUACACAUUGGCUAAAAAUAGCCAUGUCAUCAAUAUGGAGAUGGCAAAGGUCCCUUGCCUCCUUAAUAAGCCAUUAAUUCAUCUUUGGAAAGUAGCAGGUGAAUUCCUCAGCCCAACGGUCCUUCCUCCAUGCAGCAAUCCAAAUCCAAAAAAAGAG
rnacentral:lncRNA from 1 species